UACAGAGGGUGCAAGCGUUAAUCGGAAUUACUGGGCGUAAAGCGCGCGUAGGCGGUUUGUUAAGUUGGAUGUGAAAGCCCCGGGCUCAACCUGGGAACUGCAUCCAAAACUGGCAAGCUAGAGUACGGUAGAGGGUGGUGGAAUUUCCUGUGUAGCGGUGAAAUGCGUAGAUAUAGGAAGGAACACCAGUGGCGAAGGCGACCACCUGGACUGAUACUGACACUGAGGUGCGAAAGCGUGGGGAGCAAACAGG
rnacentral:rRNA from 1 species